GGCAUUGGGUUUUAGAGAGAAGAGAAGAGAGAAGGGUUCUCUCAUAUUCUAGUCUUUCUUCUUUCUCCUAUUUCUUCUUCUUUCUUGAAAAAAUCUUAGAGAUUGAAGAAGAUCCAAACCAACUAUUAAGAAGUGAUCUCUGAAAGAGAGCUAGCACUCUGAAGAGAUCAAACCUUCGAUCAGAUCAGACCUCGUGUGGAUAUUCAUAGAGAUUGGACACGUGUACGGCUAUACUAGAAUCUGAGACAUCCUCAAAUCCGGAUCUAAAGAAAUUCAGUGAUUAAGGUAU
rnacentral:lncRNA from 1 species